CCUCUGCUCUGCGCUGAGCACAGUGAGGGGCAUCAGCUGCUCCUCACACAUCUUGCCCUCCAGACCCUUUCCUGUCUUCGUAACUCUCUUCAGGACUCUCACUAAUAGUUUAAUGUUCUUAUAUUGUGGCACCCAAACCCACACCCAGUGCUGGAGGCGAGGCUGCACCAGUGCAGAGCAGAUCAGGACAGCCCCUUCCCUCACUCAGCUGGCACUGCUGGGCCUGGUGCACCCCAGGGAGCAGCUGGCCUAUAUCUUACUUAUAUUUCAUGCUGGAGUUUAAUAGCUCUGAUGCUGGGCCCACCUUGAAUGACAGUCAUUGAACCAAGCCAUAGCAACUGCCCAUCCUUGUCAGAAACACUUUUGUUAUCAACUUAUUAAAUCAGCAAAGCUUCUAACAGCUUGAAACAUCCCAAGAGGUUUCUUUUCUAAACACCGACCCUGCCUGACAUAUAUUUAGAUACGCUAAGGAAGCAUUAAUAGACACAGAGCUGACUUGGCAGUGCUGGGAUCCUGCACAGUACCACACACAGACUGCAGAGAGGCCCGAGUGACUUUUUAGAGCUCCUCAUCGCUCUUACACCAUUCUUCAUUUUCUAAUCCUUAAUUAGCCUGACACAUCUCAAUGAAGCAGAAGAGCCAGAAUGAGGUCCUGCUCAUGAGCAGAAAUUUCCAUAUCUGAAUGUUCCUAUUAAAAUCAAUUUUUGAAAGGAUACAGUGGGAAUGAUUCAUAUGGAUAAAGUUAGGUUAAGAGGUAAUUUCAUGGUAGUGCUUAUUCAUGGCUGUCUGAUAUUAGGCAAAUAAGACCUUCAGUAAAAUUGACAGAAGAACAUUUAGAGCAGAGUUAUAACUGAAGCUCCAGUUUUGCUGGAGCUGUUAAAAUUAGAAAGCUAGAAUUUCUGCAAUAUUAUAAACAUUUGUGACCAAAAGUUACAGAACCUUUUCACUGCAAAAUACGGUUUUUAGUUAUGGUUCUAGUGGUACAAGUGAUUGAUUAAAGUGAAGAAGAUUAAGUACUUUUUUUCUGUCCUUAAGCCAAAAUUACCACACAAUCUUUUUAUUUAAGAUACAGAAUAAAUGUCUAUUUAAAUGUUUAAAGCCCUGAAUAUAUCCUUACAGCACAUGCAAUGACAUAUUUUACCUUUGGCAGCCUGCAUUCAGAAGCAUCUUAGCCGACUCUUUUCCGCGGGGUAAAAUACGAUUACUAGCAAGCUCACCUCUUUCUCAUCUUUGAAGACCAGCUUUCCCUAAACAAUGUUUGAGAUAUUUCAGCUUUUAAACAGCAGGAAAUAUGACUCAAGCCUUCUUUGUUCUGAUUUGUUUUUCUGGUGAGAAGAACAGAGACCUGAUCUAUGAGCAUUACAAGUGCCAGGCAGACAGUUGGGUGCCUUUGACACAGUAGAAAGUCACCAAUUGUGUUCAGUCAGAUCUGCUACACUGCAAGGGGACGUGGAGCUAUGUAGCUGUGGAGCUACCAGGACUCUAGAGAUCUGAAGACACAGAAGUUACUUUACCAGCCUUGCUAAAAUAUGUGGAAGAGAGCUCAGGUGUGGGAUUAGUGAAGCAUUUGGCCAACAUCCUCAAGAGGAAAUACAAAGCCUAAUAAAUACUUGUGCCUAAAGCCUGGGAAAAAACAGGCCAAUUCCCCAUAUUCCCUGACUUAGGUGGUUAAUUCCACAGAGUAAUGUUUUGGUUUUCUCCUUCACGUGAGGUUUUGUAUUUAAAGCUAAAAUUGUUUCACUGCCAUACACACAAUGGCAUAACUUCAACACCUCUCCCAACAACUACAGCUGCUGGCAGCCAGUGUCUGCUGAGGAUAUUGUCCCAUGCAUUCCACAACACUGCUUUCAAAAUAGAUCAUGUCUGUCUAUCUAUUGAUCGAUCUAUCCAUCUGUUUACUUCUGUAGGUGUACCUAAAAUAAGCAGCUGCUUCCACAGAGGAGUUAUUGCCAUGUUUUUUUAUACAACCUACUCCUCAACAAUACUUCAUAGAUCUACAUUCCUUUUUGCAGAGGUUGUAGUUAAAUGAACACUGUUACCUUGCCCCUCUCUUUGUGUCCUUCAAAAGUUUUGAGCCCAUUGAUAGACAAUAACACAUUUAUCACAGGAAAAGCAUCUCAAAGGUAGCAAAAUUACUGGCAGUUAAACUAAAAUAAAACUAGGGGAGGAAAUGUAAUGCAAGUACCUCAGUUAGAAAAAUUAUUCCAUCACGAAUUAAAUACUGGAGAAUCCUUGCAUAGGAACAGUUACAACUGUGCCUGUAGAAGGAUGUAAGAGACAGGGAGCAUCUAGUAACCAAAUGCAAGAAAAUCUUCAAUCAAGAACUUGAAUCAAGAGUUAUAAAGACAACCACAGCUUAUUAAUUCUGUUGCUCACAAAAUCGUUUUCUUUAAUUGCAUAAUUGUAUAUUUUCUUAAGUAAUCUUUUGUCACUUUGGGUUCCAACCCACAGCAUGAAGAGGUGUCACUUUCUGCAUCCAUCCCCGUUAGCCUGCAGAAAUGAGAUGCUUGCUCUGCAUCUGUCCUUGCCUUAAGUGGGACCAUUGGAAAGAAGCACUUCGCCAACGUUAUCCGAGCAAUAGAUAUGGACAAUUUAUGUCUAUUCAAAAGAAAACUCCAGUCAGAAGCUGAGAACACAGUUCUAUUGACUCUUAUGGGAACAGAAUGCUGCACAGUACUGUCCUUCAGAGGCUGUCAAGGUAUUUAGAAGUAGAACAAGUACUACCCAAAGUCAUGGCAAGUAGGAUAAUCCAAGGAAUGAGCUAACAAGGCUCAGUCAGCCUCAUGGAUAACCCAAGAAAUGAGCUGACAAGGCUCAAUCAGCCUCAUGGACAAAGUCAAAUGCAUUCUUGGAAAGGGAAAUUAUGGGAUAUAUAGGUAGGAAGGACCUCUGAAGGACUUGGAUCCAGCCCUCUUCUU